rnacentral:rRNA from 1 species
CAGUAGCCGCGGGAAUACGUAGGGUCCGAGCGUUGUCCGGAAUUAUUGGGCGUAAAGGGCUCGUAGGCGGUUUGUCGCGUCGGGAGUGAAAACCAGCAGCUUAACUGCUGGCCUGCUUUCGAUACGGGCAGACUUGAGGCAUUCAGGGGAGAACGGAAUUCCUGGUGUAGCGGUGAAAUGCGCAGAUAUCAGGAGGAACACCGGUGGCGAAGGCGGUUCUCUGGGAAUGUUCUGACGCUGAGGAGCGAAAGUGUGGGGAGCGAACAGGAUUAGAUACCCCUGUAGUCCCUGUCUCUUAUAC